CUCCAAGGACCCAGAGCUGGCUGCUGCAGGAAGUCCUAGAUCACAACUCUGCAGUUCCUCUUCCCAGGUCUUGCUUUUAACUACUGUACCCAACACAAAGCCUCCCUUGCAGGCUUACCAGAGCAAGAAAAUGAAAUGGCCACCUCCUGUAACAAGAAAGACUUCUAGAAGAGGAAGGAGACAUCAAUACAUUCACAAAACCUUCAACUCGAAAUCUGUCUUGCCAAUAAGUGUGCAGGGAUGAAGACAGAAAAGUAGCACACCUGUCUCCAGAGGCUUUACUCAGCAGCUGAAAGCCACAGCCAAUCCUCAGAUGGAGCUCGGGAAGUCUUGUGGAAGAGUGGGGGGAGAGUGACAAGGAAACUGGUUGGGUUAAAACACUACAAGAAGCCCCCUACCGUCAGAUACCUUGGACCAUGGAGUAUGCUAGAGCCUGUGCAACCAACCCCAGAGCCGGGUUAGCUAUCUGCAGUUGGUCUCCAUGUGGGUCAUCUGACAAGUAGAUCCAGGACUGUCUCAGUC
ensembl:lncRNA